rnacentral:rRNA from 1 species
UACGGGGGGAGCAAGCGUUGUUCGGAUUUACUGGGCGUAAAGGGCGCGUAGGCGGUCAGCACAAGUCAGUUGUGAAAUCUCCGGGCUUAACUCGGAAAGGUCAACUGAUACUGUGCGACUAGAGUGCAGAAGGGGCAACUGGAAUUCUCGGUGUAGCGGUGAAAUGCGUAGAUAUCAGGAAGAACACCAAUGGCGAAGGCAGCUCUCUGGGACGGUACUGACACUGAGACGCGAAAGCGUGGGGAGCGAACAGG